GAGUGGGUUGGGCAGUCGCGGGCAGUGCAAACUGCGUGAGGAAAGUCCGAGCUUCACAGAGCGGGAUAACGGCUAACGGCCGCCGAGGGUGACCUUAGGGAAAGUGCAACAGAGAUAUACCGCCUGCAAAGCAGGUAAGGGUGGAAAGGCGAGGUAAGAGCUCACCGGCGCGCGGGGAACCGCGCGGCCCUGCAAACCCUAUCCGAAGCAACACCGACUGGGGGAGGAGCUCAGGCUCCGGCGUUUGCUCGACGAUACUCCGACGGGUGGCUGAAGCUCUGCGGCAACGCAGAGCGUAGACAGAUGAUUGCCUUAAAAGACAGAACUCGGCUUACAGACCCUCUCG
rnacentral:RNase_P_RNA from 1 species